GACGAACGCUGGCGGCGUGCUUAACACAUGCAAGUCGAACGGAAAGGCCCUGCUUUUGUGGGGUGCUCGAGUGGCGAACGGGUGGGUAACACGUGAGUAACCUGCCCUUGACUUUGGGAUAACUUCAGGAAACUGGGGCUAAUACCGGAUAGGGGCUCCUGCUGCAUGGUGGGGGGGGGAAAGUUUCGUCGGUUGGGGAUGGACUCGCGGCGUAUCAGCUUGUUGGUGGGGUAGUGGCUUACCAAGGCUUUGACGGGUAGCGGGCCUGAGAGGGUGACCGGCCACAUUGGGACUGAGAUACGGCCGAGACUCCUACGGGAGGUAGAAGUGGGGAAUAGUGCAGAAUGGGCGGCAGCCUGAUGCAGCAACGGCGCGUGGGGGAUGACGGCCCUCGGGUUGUAAGCCGCGUCCGCCUGUGACGAAGCGUGAGUGACGGUAAUGGGUAAAGAAGCACCGGCUAACUACGUG
rnacentral:rRNA from 1 species